CCGCCCGUCGUCUAAACGGAUAGGGCCCCGCCUUCUAAGCGGGCACAUAGAGGUUCGACUCCUCGGGCGGGCCA
rnacentral:tRNA from 1 species